rnacentral:rRNA from 1 species
UACAGAGACUGCGAGCGUUAUUCGGAUUCACUGGGCGUAAAGGGCGCGCAGGCGGCCGAGUGAGUGAGGCGUGAAAGCCCGGGGCUUAACCCCGGAAGUGCACCUCAAACUACACGGCUAGAGCAUUGGAGAGGGUAGCAGAAUUCAUGGUGUAGCAGUGAAAUGCGUAGAUAUCAUGAGGAAUACCAGAGGCGAAGGCGGCUACCUGGACAAUUGCUGACGCUCAGGCACGAAAGCGUGGGGAGCAAAAGGG